rnacentral:rRNA from 1 species
CCCUUAGAUGUUCUGGGCCGCACGCGCGCUACACUGAUGAAUGCAACGAGUUCUACCCUUGACCGAAAGGCCCGGGUAAACUUGUGAAACUUCAUCGUGAUGGGGAUAGAUUAUUGCAAUUAUUAAUCUUCAACGAGGAAUUCCUAGUAAGCGCGAGUCAUCAGCUCGCGUUGAUUACGUCCCUGCCCUUUGUACACACCGCCCGUCGCUCCUACCGAUUGAAUGGUCCGGUGAAAUCUUCGGAUUGCUGACCAAGAUCCAGCAAUGGAGCUUGGUUGCGAGAAGUUGAUUAAACCUUAUUAUUUAGAGGAAGGAGAAGUCGUAACA